UAAUAGGUGGGAACACCAUCUGGGCGGGUAUGGCAAGGGAACUUCAGAUGCGGUCUGCUGGGGGUCUCAGGGUUCGGGUUGGAAGGAGCUAGAGAUCUGUUUGCACCAAUAGGUCCCACACACAGAAGUGGGCAACAUGUGGUUAUGUACUGGCUAAAGUGGCCCAAGAUCAUUUGGCUCGGGACCUGCAACACUCCAACUCUGCACAAUCCCUGAACUGUGACUUCUUUCUAGAGCCUAACGUAGGUUAAGGGUUCCACCACCCCACCGAAAAAAGCUGGCAGAGCCACGGGCAUCUAUGGAAAAUCUGACCCUCCUCUCCGGUCCCUCCUGCCUAAAGAUGACGUCCAGACAAUUCCAGGCUGACUCCGCAGGUGGAGAGCCAGUCAGCAGCUACCCUGCACUGGAUCAUUUGAUAACUUCUCGGAACUUCAGUUCCUCCCGGAGCUGGUAUCCGUAAACCACAAGCCCCGACACUUCUUCUCCAACCUCCAACCACUUAAUCGUGGUUUUGGCUGGGUCAGCGUAUGAACCCCAUAACCUCAGAAAUGGAGUAGGUGAAGGCCUUUAUCUGUUGUUCCUGGGGGCGAAGGCCAAGUUCACUGGGUGCAGCUGGCGGCACGGGAGCUGAUAACGCUCUCGAAGAAACCCAGAUGUCUUCGCCGCCUUUCGGAGUGGGGCCUCAUCCGCUCCCCUCUGGUGUCA